GACGAACGCUGGCGGCGUGCCUAAUACAUGCAAGUAGAACGCUGAAGAGAAGAGCUUGCUCUUCUUGGAUGAGUUGCGAACGGGUGAGUAACGCGUAGGUAACCUGCCUUGUAGCGGGGGAUAACUAUUGGAAACGAUAGCUAAUACCGCAUAACAAUGGAUGACACAUGUCAUUUAUUUGAAAGGGGCAAUUGCUCCACUACAAGAUGGACCUGCGUUGUAUUAGCUAGUAGGUGAGGUAACGGCUCACCUAGGCGACGAUACAUAGCCGACCUGAGAGGGUGAUCGGCCACACUGGGACUGAGACACGGCCCAGACUCCUACGGGAGGCAGCAGUAGGGAAUCUUCGGCAAUGGGGGCAACCCUGACCGAGCAACGCCGCGUGAGUGAAGAAGGUUUUCGGAUCGUAAAGCUCUGUUGUAAGUCAAGAACGAGUGUGAGAGUGGAAAGUUCACACUGUGACGGUAGCUUACCAGAAAGGGACGGCUAACUACGUG
rnacentral:rRNA from 1 species